rnacentral:tRNA from 1 species
GACAGUUUGGCCGAGUGGUCUAAGGCGCUGGCUUAAGUCGCCAGUCCGAAAGGGCGUGGGUUCGAAUCCCACAGCUGUCA